GAUGAAGAACGCAGCGAAAUGCGAUAAGUAAUGUGAAUUGCAGAAUUCAGUGAAUCAUCGAAUCUUUGAACGCACAUUGCGCCCCUUGGUAUUCCGAGGGGCAUGCCUGUUCGAGCGUCAUUAUAACCCCUCAAGCUCAGCUUGGUGUUGGGGCCUGCCGCACGGGCAGCCCUUAAAAUCAGUGGCGGUGCUAUCUGGCUCUAAGCGUAGUAAUUCUUCUCGCUAUAGAGUCCCGGUGGAUGCUUGCCAUUAACCCCCAAUUUUCUAUGGUUGACCUCGGAUCAGGUAGGGAUACCCGCUGAACUUAAGAAUAUCAAUAAGCGGAGGA
rnacentral:misc_RNA from 1 species